rnacentral:rRNA from 1 species
CCUACGGGAGGCUGCAGUGAGGAAUAUUGGUCAAUGGCCGGAAGGCUGAACCAGCCAUGCCGCGUGAAGGUCAGUGCCCUAUGGGCGUUAAACUUCUUUUGUGCGGGAGCAAUAAUGGUCACGUGUGGCCAGACGAGAGUACCGUACGAAUAAGCAUCGGCUAACUCCGUGCCAGCAUCCGCGGUAAUACGGGGAAUGCAAGCGUUAUCCGGAGUUAUUGGGUUUAAAGGGUGCGUAGGCUGUGAGGUAAGUCAGAGGUGAAAUGCCCCCGCUCAACGGGGUGAAGUGCCAUUGAUACUGCCUUGCUGGAAUGCGGAUGCCGGGGGAGGAAUGUGUGGUGUAGCGGUGAAAUGCAUAGAUAUCACACAGAACACCGAUUGCGAAGGCAGCUCACGAAUCCGCGAUUGACGCUGAUGCACGAAAGCGUGGGUAUCAAACAGGAUUAGAUACCCGGGUAGUC